rnacentral:rRNA from 1 species
UACGUAGGGUGCAAGCGUUGUCCGGAAUUAUUGGGCGUAAAGAGCUCGUAGGCGGUCUGUCACGUCGGCUGUGAAAACCCGAGGCUCAACCUCGGGCCUGCAGUCGAUACGGGCAAACUAGAGUACUGCAGGGGAGACUGGAAUUCCUGGUGUAGCGGUGAAAUGCGCAGAUAUCAGGAGGAACACCGGUGGCGAAGGCAGGUCUCUGGGCCACUACUGACGCUGGAGAAAGCGAAAGCAUGGGGAGCGAACAGG